rnacentral:rRNA from 1 species
AGCCUACGGGACGCAGCAGUGGGGAAUAUUGCGCAAUGGGCGAAAGCCUGACGCAGCGACGCCGCGUGAGGGAUGAAGGUCUUCGGAUCGUAAACCUCUGUCAGCAGGGAAGAACGGUCACUGUGCUAAUCAGCAGUGAAUUGACGGUACCUGCAAAGGAAGCACCGGCUAACUCCGCGCCAGCAGCCGCGGUAAUACGGAGGGGGCGAGCGUUAUCCGGAUUCACUGGGCGUAAAGGGAGCGCAGGCGGCACGGCAAGUCCGGUGUGAAAGCCCGGGGCCCCACCCCGGGACUGCACUG